AGAUGAAGGAAGAAUGACAGCACGAAGAAUGGAAAGUAAAGUUUUAUGGGUCAGGGCUGGAGGUCUUGUUGCUGAGACUUUGGAGAUCAGUAGUACUCAAGAGAGUAGUAUACAAGAGAGUGGCCAAAGCAACGUCUCUUUCCACCUUGGCCACCUUCCAACAACGAUUUCUUCGGACGCCUUUGUUAAUCAUUCCUGUAUGAAAAAUUGGUGAAUCUGAAGCCUUGGGGAGAGUGAAGGGGGGUUGGAAAACAAACGGCAAAACAAAAAUGCAUUUCGGAGGACUACCCCAACUCUGUGGGUGGAAGUGGGCUUCUCCGAAUAAAGGCGAGGGUCGCCGCCUCGGGUCCUCGCACCUCAACAAAAGACACCAACUCUCUCAACUGUACUGUUAACCGAUCUAAAUGAUAGUCCAA
rnacentral:lncRNA from 1 species